UUCAUGACAUUGUGUAUUGAACAGAAACAAAAAAAUCUUGUCCCAAAGAGCUUACAGACAGUGCAAACAGGAGCAGUGCAAACCAAUAUGUGAUACAUACAUUGCAAUCAUACAGAAGAGCGUGUUAUGCUAAAAACUAGUUCAAUUACUAUAUAAAUAUUCAUGCUAGUCAUUGACACAUCUUAUUUAAGUAAAACACUGCUCCCAUUGAAACAUUAUGAAUUUUGCCACUGACUUUAAGGAGGUCAGGAUUGGGCUAGUAGAGUCUGAUGAGAUUUCAUAACAUUUAUUCAUUUCUAUUUGCACUUUAAGUAUAUGUUUCCAUGUCUAUAAAUGUUUCCAUGUGUUGUUUUUGGUUGUUGGUCCUAUCCCUUUUCAUGUUGUUUGGAAGGGGUUUUUUAUAUUCAGUGCCUUUUACUUUCUAAAAGUAAGACAACUUUCUGCAAAAGAACAACAAACUUCUCAAAGACAAAAAGGACAGUUAUGUCAGGGUCAGGAAAAGGGAAAGGCUCAUACUUUUAAGUCACAUGAGAUUUUAAGCAGAGCCUGAAGCUAAACACAGAAGCUUCAAUUGGCUGGUUCUUCUAAUAGUUGUGGCCUUUAUAAAUGCGAAAAACCUAGCUAACCAUUCAAAUACCUAACUCCAUUUUUCAGUUUGCCCUUUGCUAUGCCACUCCCCCACCCUUACAAGGUUUCUAUAGCCUGUAAUUCACUUUCUUCUCCCACAUCUCCCAGUUCAUUAUUUUGCUGUUUGAAGCUUAAGCUGCCUUGGUAUUCAACAUAACAUUUAGUUCACUAUACCAUCUUGUGUGUUGGAGUUUUUACCCAAACUAUAAAUUGAAGACUUGAGCCAUCAAAACACUAAAACCAUUAUGUGUUUGGUCAGAUCCUCACAUUUUUAACACCUUUAAUUUAAUAAAUUAGAACAUACACUGGUUUAAUUUGAGACAGAAAUGCAUUAUGUUACAGGUGUUUGUGUUUAAAUUUCAGCUUUUUGCUUACCAUCUUAAACAGGACUCAUCUGUAAGAAAUGACACCAACAAAAUAAAAAGAAGGCAGAGGCAUGGCAAGAGAACGAAAAUCAACAGGUGGCUCAAGGAUUGCUGGUCUGAGGAAAGUUUUGGAGUGUUUGACUAUUCAGAGAUGUCUGUGAAGCUUUUGAUAUGAUGACAUUAUUGGCUAAAAUGGAGAUGGAAAAGAAGAAUGGAGAUUAGUAUAAGAAUGCCUAAGUGAGUAAGGAACUGGCCUUGACAGAGGGAAAAAUGGGAGCAGGGUGGAAUCUAUCAAAGACUGGUUUUGGGAGUGAAAUAGGCAUAAAUAGUUGCGUUGUAUUAAUUUUAUACCAAACUGGGAGGCAUCGUCAGUAGAAAGGUCACGGGGUGGGGGCAUGUCUACACAUGUAAUUAAUGUGCUGAAAGCUUAUUGGGUAUGUCUAAAUGAAAUGGUACUGCAAAGUGGAUAUUGCACUUUUAUUUAAUGCUAGCAAAUUGCCCAUCAAAAAUGACGGG